GUUUUCGGUUUUUUAAAAAUCCAAUUGGUUUUAUACUUAACUCUCUAAGUAUUACGGUUUUUCAAAAAACCAAACGUAUACCAAACUAUAUGAGUUUUGAAAAUUUUACUAAAAUGUCUGGAAUCGCUGUUAACAUUUUGCCAAGGAAGAUAUAGAUGGUACAGUUUUGCUGGACAUAGAUGACUAUACAUUAAAGGAGCUUAUUCCCAUUAUUAAAUUAAGAAUAACAUUUAAAAAAGAAUGGCAAAGAACUCAUAUUGCCAAAUUUUCUGAUGAAUGCAAUAUCCAGCAAAAAAUUAAACUUCAACGUUCCUGGAAUAUCAAAAUUGAAGACCUCCUUUUUGGAUGUAUUGUUUGAUGAUAUAAAAUCCAGAUAUGGUCUGUAUCCAAGUAAUUCACAAUUGUAUGAAUUAGCACAUGAAGUGAUUCUACGUUUUCCAAAUGUCAAGCCAACACAUGGAAA
rnacentral:misc_RNA from 1 species